CGGCAGGGUCCUAAGUAUAAGCACUCUUUUACUGUGAAACUGCGAAUGGCUCAUUAAAUCAGUUAUCGUUUAUUUGAUAGUACCCUACUACAUGGAUACCUGUGGUAAUUCUAGAGCUAAUACAUGCGCAAAACCCCGACUUCGGAAGGGGUGUAUUUAUUAGAUAAAAAACCAAUGCCCUUCGGGGCUCCUUGGUGAUUCAUAAUAACUUCACGAAUCGCAUGGCCUUGCGCCGGCGAUGGUUCAUUCAAAUUUCUGCCCUAUCAACUUUCGAUGGUAGGAUAGUGGCCUACCAUGGUGGCAACGGGUAACGGGGAAUUAGGGUUCGAUUCCGGAGAGGGAGCCUGAGAAACGGCUACCACAUCCAAGGAAGGCAGCAGGCGCGCAAAUUACCCAAUCCCGAUACGGGGAGGUAGUGACAAUAAAUACUGAUACAGGGCUCUUUUGGGUCUUGUAAUUGGAAUGAGAACAAUCUAAAUCCCUUAACGAGGAACAAUUGGAGGGCAAGUCUGGUGCCAGCAGCCGCGGUAAUUCCAGCUCCAAUAGCGUAUAUUAAAGUUGUUGCAGUUAAAAAGCUCGUAGUUGAACCUUGGGCCCGUCCUGCCGGUCCGCCUCACCGCGAGUACUGGUCCGGAUGGGCCUUUCUUUCUGGGGAAUCCCAUGGCCUUCACUGGCUGUGGCGGGGAACCAGGACUUUUACUGUGAAAAAAUUAGAGUGUUCAAAGCAGGCCUUUGCUCGGAUACAUUAGCAUGGAAUAAUAGAAUAGGACGUGCGGUUCUAUUUUGUUGGUUUCUAGGACCGCCGUAAUGAUUAAUAGGGAUAGUCGGGGGCGUCAGUAUUCAGCUGUCAGAGGUGAAAUUCUUGGAUUUGCUGAAGACUAACUACUGCGAAAGCAUUCGCCAAGGAUGUUUUCAUUAAUCAGGGAACGAAAGUUAGGGGAUCGAAGACGAUCAGAUACCGUCGUAGUCUUAACCAUAAACUAUGCCGACUAGGGAUCGGGCGGGGUUUCUAUGAUGACCCGCUCGGCACCUUACGAGAAAUCAAAGUUUUUGGGUUCUGGGGGGGAGUAUGGUCCGCAGGGCUGAAACUUAAAGAAAAUUGACGGAAGGGCAACCACAAGGGCGUGGAACCCGGCGGCUUAAUUUUGACUCCAACCCGGGGGAAAACUCACCCAGGGUCCCAGACCAAAAUAAGGGAUUGGACAGAAUUGGAAGACCUCUUCUCUUGAACUUUUUGGAAGGGGGGGGGCAAUGGCCCCUUCUUAAUUUGGGGGGAAAGGAAUUUUUUCCCGCCUUAAAUGG
rnacentral:rRNA from 1 species